CCUAAAAUUGAACUCGCAUUAUCUCGUUAUCGCCCCAGAGUAGGGCCUACUGUUGCCAUUGCUUUUUAGUCCCCAAUACUUCAGUGAGUCAUGCUUUGGAAAUGACAAUAAUUUUUUAUUACCCAACCCUUGAGUUGUUUUGUUUUUCAUUUACCCAACCUUUUCCUUACUCAAAAUUUAGUUUACCAACCUUUUUCUCUUCGGUGCCACCCCCCGCCAUAAAUAAUGACCGGUCCCUUAGUAAAUCUUCCACAGCACUCAGCUUACAAUUUUGCAGUGAGCCAACAACAUUCGUUGACAAAUGGGAGUUUUCUCGGAUAUCAGUGAGAAUUCUAUUGGAUUUUUCAUUUUUUUUUCAUCAUCGUGAUCAUGAAUAGAGGGUCCUGAAGGGGGGGUCCCAAUCCCAUUUCCCACCCGAAAUUUUGGCAAAAUCCCAGUCCCAGUUGGAUUUUUAUUACAAAUCCCAGUCCCAGUUAUUGAAAUCCCAGUCAAUAAAAACCCCUUUAUUUAUCGGUAGAAUAAACAGUUUUAAGACCUUUUAAGCAAGUGGCGGACACUUUAUGAAAUAUCAGGGGGGGGGGGGCUCGUGCCAAAGGCACGGAAAAUUUUUAGAUUUGAAUCCCGGAAAUGGCAUUUGCAGCAUUCUGAGACACGCAUAAUCAUAAAACCCAGAAUUCCGGGCGCCAGAGUAUGCCUGUUCGCAGGUAGUGCUGUGAAUAAUAUUAUAGUUAACAACAAAAAUCGUGACCAAAGACACCAAAAACGGAUCAAAAUUGUAUUUUAAAAUACUCAAAACGCAGAAAAAUUGGGAAUCGACUCACAUUACCUCAAUCCCAUUCCCAUUUUUGAGGACUUCAUUUCCCAUUCCCAGUGGCCAAAUCCCAGUCCCAGCAACCCAAAUCCCAUUUUCCCAGUCUAAAAAUAGAUCAAUCCCAGUUCCCAUUUUACCCCUUCAGGACCCUCU